UACGUAGGGGGCAAGCGUUGUCCGGAAUCAUUGGGCGUAAAGCGCGUGUAGGCGGCCAGGUAAGUCCGUUCUGAAAGCCCGGGGCUCAACCCCGGGAGGCGGAUGGAUACUGCUUGGCUCGAGUCCGUAAGAGGCGAGUGGAAUUCCCGGUGUAGCGGUGAAAUGCGCAGAUAUCGGGAGGAACACCAAUGGCGAAGGCAGCUCGCUGGGACGGUACUGACGCUGAGACGCGAAAGCGUGGGGAGCAAACAGG
rnacentral:rRNA from 1 species